CCUACGGGAGGCAGCAGUGGGGAAUAUUGCACAAUGGGGGCAACCCUGAUGCAGCGACGCCGCGUGAGUGAAGACGUAUCUCGGUACGUAAAGCUCUAUCAGCAGGGAAGAAAAUGACGGUACCUGACUAAGAAGCCCCGGCUAACUACGUACCAGCAGCCGCGGCAAUACGUAGGGGGCAAGCGUUAUCCGGAUUUACUGGGUGUAAAGGGAGCGUAGACGGCAGCACAAGUCUGGAGUGAAAUCCCGGGGCUUAACCCCGGGACUGCUUUGGAAACUGGGCGGCUGGAGGGCAGGAGGGGUAAGCGGAAUUCCUAGGGGAGCGGUGAAAUGCGUAGAUAUUAGGAGGAA
rnacentral:rRNA from 1 species